AACUUUCAGCAACGGAUCUCUUGGCUCUCGCAUCGAUGAAGAACGCAGCGAAAUGCGAUAAGUAAUGUGAAUUGCAGAAUUCAGUGAAUCAUCGAAUCUUUGAACGCACCUUGCGCUCUUUGGUAUUCCGAGGAGCAUGCCUGUUUGAGUGUCAUUA
rnacentral:rRNA from 1 species